GUUUAUUUCAAUUAAAAAUUGUUACAUUCUGAAAUAAUAGGAUUGCGGGAAGAAUUCUAGAGGACUUUUAAAAUGUGCAUAGGAUACAUCAGUGUACUUAUUUGUCACUUAUAAUGUAUGUACAUAUUAACUUCUAAGAGACUUCAAAUGAAAAUAAAUCGCCUACAUGAUGAAUUCAGAAAUACUGGGCUACAAGGUACACGACAGGUAGAGGCAUGGAGGAAGGACCACUGUGGAUCUUGGGUGUGUGAAGUAGACAUUGAUCACUUAGGAUCACAAAUGAACAAAGCUGGCAAGAGAAGUUAUGUAUACAUAUGGCAAACAAGUACAAAUGUUAAAAAAACAGAUGAAGACUCAAAAAGUGCAAAGAAAGAGACUGAAAUACUUGGAGAAACGAGUCCUGAAGUCUGUCAGUUGCUCAAAACUAACCUAAGCAAUGGAUGGUUAGAGGCUUCCUUAAACAACCUCAAAAAGGGUGAUUUUAAAGUAGCUGGAGAAAAUGUACUGGGAUGGCUUCGAGCAACCAUAGAAAAC
rnacentral:lncRNA from 11 species